AGAAUCAACGCUGGCGGCGUGCCUAACACAUGCAAGUCGAACGCGAAAGGGCGCAAGCCCUGAGUAGAGUGGCAAACGGGUGAGUAACACGUGGUGACCUGCCUUCGAGUGGGGGAUAACGUUCCGAAAGGAACGCUAAUACCGCAUGACAUCCUGCGUUUGGAGACGCGGACAUCAAAGCUGGGGAUCGCAAGACCUGGCGCUACGGAGAGGGGCCCGCGGCUGACUUAGCUAGUUGGUGGGUAAUGGCUCACCAAGGCGACGAUCAGUA
rnacentral:rRNA from 1 species